GUUAAAAUUUAAGGGGAAAAAUAAGACUCCAAGAAAAAGAUACAAACCAGCCCUUUUUAUCUUUAAUUAAAUAGAAAAUACAAACUAAUUCUUUUAACUUUUAUUUAUUUAUUUAUUUAUUUAUUUUGAGACAGGGUCUGGCUCUGUCACCCAGGCUGGAGUGCAGUGGCACGAUCUUGGCUCACAACUACCUCCGCCUCCCCAGGCUUAAGCAAUCCUCCCACCUCAGCCUCCCAAGUAGCUGAAACUACAGGUGUGCGCCAUCACCCCCAGGCAGGUAACCAAUUGAAAGAUAAGAUACCAUAGACAGACAUCAACUUUAUUCCUGACUAAAGCUCAAAAGAAGGGCGUGGCGUAGAUUUACAGUGACCAUCCUAACACUCACGCGCAGAGUCACACGGUCCCACACUGGGCUGGACCAGCCCUGCUAAGCCCACAAGAGGUGGGGAGAACAGCAGCCGCUUCCUCUUUGUGGGGCCCAGGCCUGAGCUUCCCUCCGUUCCUGCCCCGGAUCUGACCACUGGGAUUGUGGGAGAGGGUGUCAAAGGACAGUUUUCUCCCAUAGUUUUCCCUUCCAGGGAGAAGAGUGGAAAUCCCCUCAUCUCAAAGGCAACAUGAGAUUGGAGAAUGUACUCUCAAAUCCCCAAACAGCAACAGAAUUGUUCUGCUUGCUUCAGAGCAGAGGCUCCGCAGCCCUUUCCAGACCUCUCCCAAGCGUGGAAAUGGACGAAGGGCUGGAUGGGGCUCAGAGGGGAGGUCAGGCGGGACUCCCUCAGACAGCAGCUGGGGUUCCUCUGUUCCAGGCCCAGCUCUCACUGAAACAGGAGAGGGUGUGAAGGAAUGGAUUUGGAACUGUCAAGAACUCCUUCCUUAGUGGGCAGUGGAGGUAAUGCAGGGUUCAGACCAUCUGUGCCCUGGACAGAGGCCUCUUUCUUCCCCAGGAAUGCUAAGCACAUGGGCAUCCUGAUACCUCAACUCCUCCAGUCCCAAAUACUCUGCCUGUUUGUCCCCUUUGUCCUGAGCCACCCCGUAGGACCUGCAGGUCAGGCACUGACUUCAUGUCAGGUCCCCGAAGCAGUUUUGUUCUCUCAGCAGUGUCCACUGGCCUGCAGCCAGGCACCUCUCUCCCCCAGCCUGGGUCACUGGCAAGGGAGCAAGAAGAGUUCUGGGCUCACAGCAGGCAGUGGAGUGUAGUCACAGAGCCUGAUCCGGCUUGAAAUCCCAGAUCCUUUGCUUACUAGGCUGUGUGGCCUUAGGUGAGUUACUUAAUCUCUCCGUGCUUCAGUUUCUGCAUAUGUAAAACAGGGAUAAUAUCUAGCUCACUGGGUUAUGAUGAGACGUAAGUAACUUCAUACAAACCCCUUAGGACUGAUGCCUGGGCAUUUCUAAGUACUCAGUGAAGGCAAGCUGCUGUUUUUAUGGGCCCAGGUCUAGGAAAAAAGAAUCAAACAGCCAGGGGAAAGGGGAUGCUCUCCACUGUAUAUUAAGUUCUAUCAUAGGGACCAUUUUAGCUAAACACAGAAAAACAGAGGAGGGGGCUGGGUGUGGUGGCUCAUGCCUGUAAUCCCAGACCUUAGGAGGCUGGAUUGCUUGAGCCCAGGAGUUCGAGACCAGCCUGGGCAAUAAAGUGAGACCCCCAUCUACAAAAGAUACAAAAUUUAGCUGGGUGUGGUGGCGCAUGCCUGUAGUUCCAGCUACUAGGGGGCAGGGUGAGGUGGGAGGGUAACUUGAGCCUGGGAGGCAGAGGUUGCAGUGAGCUGAGAUUGCAUCACUGGUCUCCAGCCUGGGCGACAGAGGGAGAUCCUAUCUCAAAAAAAAAAAAAAAAAAAAGACAGAGGAGGAACAAGGAACAAUUAUCCCCCAUUUUACAGAUCAAAAGCUGAGUGAAGCAGUGGUCCAGCUGGAAUUCAACACCUGAGAUAUCUGACUCCAGAUACCAGCCCUUCCUUGCUUCCCACUAGCUGCCUAACCCAGAGAGGAGAUUGGGAAAAGAGAAACAAGUUACAGAAUUCAAGAGUAGGUAUCAUCUGGGGUCUUCCUGAAGGAACAAGUGUUGCUCCAGAGAAGCCAGAAAUUCUUAUCUCUGCUUUGCUCUAACCACCUCUUUAGGCUUUAUGACUGAAGAGUCCCUUUGGCCCCUUAACUCCACAAGGCUGACCCUGGUGAUCAGCAGCUGAGAUCUACAUGAUACAGUCCAGACACCAGAAGGAGACUGAAUCUCUCUCCCAAAUCUCAGCUCUAAAAUUCCCAAGAGAGGGCCUCAUGGGUCCAGGCAGUGUCUGGUGUCCGUCCUGCAAUGGCCAGGAGCCAGGUUUUCUUGUAGGAGUGUGACAGCUCCUCCUGCAGUCGGGGAUCCUGGAUGGGGCUGAGGAGAAGUUCCAAGGCAAGGAGGAUUGGCAUCUGCUCCAUAAGUGCAUUCUUCUCUUUGCACUUGAUCUUUUAUCUACCUCAUAGAUAGAUCCUUCUUGCUCACACUUUCAGCCUGUCCUUUUUUUUUUUUUUUUUUUUUUUUGAGACAGGGUCUCGCUCUGUCACUCAAGCUGGAGUGCAGUGGCAUGAACUUGGCUCACUGCAGCCUCCACCUCCCAAGUUCAAGUGAUUCUCCUGCCUCAGCCUCCCAGGUAGCUGGGAUUACAGGCGUGUGCCACCACACCUGGUUAAUUUUUUUGUAUUUUUAGUAGAGAUAGGGUUUCACCAUGUUGACCAGGCUGGUCUUCAACUCCUGACCUCCCCAGUGAUCCACCCACCUAGGUCUCCCAAAGUGCUGGGAUUACAGGCAUGAGCCACUGUGCCCAGCGCUUUCAGCCAGUUUGACCUCUACUCAUGCAAAUUUUACCUUUCCCUUUAUGCCUCACUCCACCUCACGGCUUCACUCUCUUCUCCCUGAUCGCACCCCACUGUGACUGCCUGAAAUGCCACAUGUUUCUUCAUUCAGAUUUCUCAGAUAAUUCAAUGGUUCCACCCAUAAUUCCACACCUGGCCACUUCAUAGACAAUGACUCACUUAAGGACAGGCUGCCUCAGGGUGCACAGCCUGUAUUCAGGAAUCUGCUAGAGCAACACAUAGCUGUACCUUCUGCAAGGCUGUGGGCUGGAUGACUCCACUGUGGGCGUGGAACACGGGCUGGUGUCAUAAGGAGACAUUCUUUAUGCCUUAGGCAUUGAAAGGAUACUCCUUCCAAAAGGCCUUUCCCAGCGUUUCCCCCUGAAAUCCACUAACCAUAGCAUUUCACUGUUGACACUGCCAUAUAGUGCUAAGUGCAGUUGUCUAACUCCUACUGCCACAGAGAUUCAAGUGUACAAUGGCUUACACGUGUGAGAAGAUUAUUUCUUGUUCAGAUAUCAAAUGCAGAAUAAGCAGUCCAGAGAGGAGAUGACAGCUUUAUGGUGUUGGGGACCUAUGCUCCUUCUGACUUGCUGUUCUAUCAUCCCUUGGACGGUGGCCUCAUCUCCUUGGAUCCAGAUGGAUCACUACCACAUUCCAGCCAGUGGGAAGGGGGAAAUGCAUUUCCUUUUCCUUUAAAUGCGGGAGCCAGAGUUUGCACACCUCACUUCACUCACACCUUGCCAGCCAGAACGUAGUUACAGGGUCACAUCAAGCUUGAAGGAGAGCUGGCAAAUGAAGUCUAUUUUGGGUGGCCAUGUGCCCAGCUAAAAGUUGGGAAUUCUAUUAUUAAAGAGGAAGAGGAAGAGAAGAAUGCAUAUCCCACCAUUCUGUCACCGUUUUUGACUGCUCUCCACUCACUAUCCAGUCUGUCACAUGCUGGCACAUCCCAUUCCUGAUGCCUUUCCUAUGGGGCUCUAUUCUUCAUCCCCACCAAUACCACCAUGCAUUGGGCCCUUCCUGCUUUAUACCCACUGUCUCAUUAGAACGUCCUAGCUGAUCCCUUUGCUUUCAGUCACCUUCUGUGAUCAUUCUAUUAAUAAAUAGCAAAUCUGAUCAUAUGCCCCUAUUGUUUAGAAAUCAAUGGCUCCCCACUGCCCAUAGCAGUAAGAUUUUGAAUCCUUUUUUUUUUGAGACAGGGUCUCAUUCUGUCACCUAGCCUGGAGUGUAGUGGUGAGAUCACAGUCAUUGCAGCCUUGACCUCCUGGGCUCAAGUGAUCUCCCCACCUUAGCCUCCCAAGUAGCUGAGACUACAGGCACACAUCACAACGCCUGGCUAGUUAUUAAUUUUUUUUUUUUUGUAGAGAUGGGAUGUCACUAUGUUGCCCAGGCUGGGCUCAAGUGAUCCUCCUGCUUCAGCCUCUCAAAGUGUUGGGAUUACAGGUGUGAGCAACUGCAUUCAGCUGAGUGCAGAUUUUUGAAUCCCUGAAGUUGUAUGCAAAUUUUGCCU
rnacentral:lncRNA from 1 species